GCAGGACCAUUAGGUUGUCUGGUCAGGCUGAUAGCAGGACCAUUAGGUUGUCUGGUCAGACUGAUAGCAGGGCCAUUAGGUUGUCUGGUCAGGCUGAUAGCAGGACCAUUAGGUUGUCUGGUCAGGCUGAUAGCAGGACCAUUAGGUUGUCUGGUCAGGCUGAUAGCAGGACCAUUAGGUUGUCUGGUCAGGC